CGGCGGCGGCGCGGGCGGGAGCCUAGGGCGCGGGGGCCAGCGGCGGGUCGCGCCGGGCCAAGGGGAGGCUCCUGCAGUCCCGGUGGCAGUUGGUCCAGUAGUUUCGGACGCCCCAGCUUCGGCUCGGCGGAGAGCGAGUCUGCGUGAAUGACAAGCGAGCAAGCGAGGCUGUGCGUGCGCGCGUGAGAAAUACAGCCUGAAGGACAAAGCUGCUGAGUUCUAGAAAGAGAUAACUUAAAUGUUUAUGUCUGGCUGGAGAGGAACAAUCAGCAGCCUGUGCUUUCUCAGCAAUCCUGGCUUCUCCUCAGAGGAUCCUUAGCUCUGUAGCUGAUGGACUAAGAGAUUGCUACAGUGAUUUUGCCUGGCUUGUACCGGUUCACACCUGGGGCUGGGAGCAGGCACAACCCCACAAACUGAAGCACAGCCUGGAAAGGGCACCUCACCACCUCUGUUGGAGGAUUAGAUCAGGCCAAUCGUUGACAUCUGGAUUCAGUUGGUUAAGUGAACAUUCAUUACAGCAUUAAAGGAGCUCUCUUUGUGCCAUACCUGGAAACCAAAAGAUGAAUAAAAGAAGCCUUUGCUCUCAUAAGGUACAGUGAGACAGAGAUGAGGAAGAGAGUCUGCCAAGCACUAGGAAACAAUAUUGAAUGAGCACCUUGAGGAAAUUGCAAAGCAGUUUCUACUUUUAUCAGGAUUUCCAAUUCCAGGUAGAGAUGUGAAGGAGGGAUGAAAGGGAAGCCAGCAGAGAUCCCUAACAGGAUGUGGUAGACCUACAGGGAACCACAACCAUCCCAUGGAGAUCUGAAGAUCAAAGAGAGAGGACACUUUACAGGGGCUCAACUCAGAGAAUGGGUAUCCAGUUAUUCCGGCACAUUUAUUGAAAAGAUUUCAUUCCCCAAUGAAAUUUGGCCCUGGUCCUGAGUUCAAUUUGAAGAUCUGAGUGGCUACUUUUGAGGGAUCAACAUUGCUGUACAUCAAAAACAGUAAGUGCUGUGACACUACCUUGAGUCAAGCAGUGAUGAGGGUGAAGUAUAUUUAAUUCAAAUUUCAGCUAAGUUUGAAGAGGCAAUGAGUAAAUAUUGGUCAAGAGAGGUCAAUGCAGCAUCUCUCCUGUGGAAGAAAGAACUGGAGAUUAUUUUCGAGUUCUAUGCAAGGGAAGGGCAGUGAGCAGAUUUGUAGUUAUAACUUGAGG